rfam:Sus scrofa chromosome X.
AUCGCUUCUCGGCCUUUUGGCUAAGAUCAAGUGUAGUUACAUUGUACCAGAGUAUACUUAUUCUGAUGUCCAAAAAGCUUGAUUUUCCACAAACUUCAAUCAUGCCCUUUUUCUUUACAUGUGAUUUUUUUUUAAGGCACAUCAUCCUGUGAUUUUUAGGGGUAGUAGGGUUGGUGAAAAUUCU